UGCUCAGAUUCCUGAGCAGCACCUAAAAUUUUAAGAUAAGCUGAAGAUUGCAAAAUAUUUCCUCUUCAAGACUAGUUAGCAUAUUCCAUAUAGUUAUACUACACAAGCUCAACUUUGCAUGCACUUCAAGUCAAAAAUAGCUACACGUUCUUUCCAGUCUACUAAAUCUCAUAUUCAUCGCUAGACAAUCCAAUAUCUAUUCGGUACAUCCCUAACAGCACUAUUUGUUCUUCCAUAUUAUCACAACUCAUCAAUGUACUUAAACAAGACGUUGUUGCAGGAUUAUGCACUUAUUCUAAAACCUACCAGAAACCAUCUCGGAAUACUGACUCUUGUAGUUGUUCUUCAGGAUUCUUCUCACCGUCUCGUGAUUCACUAGCACUUCCAUUUUUCCCUGUCUUCUCAGUCCCAGACAUAAUCUCAUCACUUCCUUUACUUCCACCAAAGCCUUUUACAUUACCCAUCGGAGGCUUCUCAGCUUUAAACUUGUACUUCUUCUCAAACAUCAAACUUUUCUCAUCAUUUCCAGAUUCAUCCAACGGUUCUACGCGCAAUCCCGCCAAACCUUUCCUCUGUGAAUUCAACCGUUUCUCCAUGUUAGACAAUCUUGCUUCUAUCUCUUUCUCAAUAUCAAUCCCAGUUUCAUCAUCUUCUUCUUGCUUACCCUCACUUUUACGUGCUUCACGUGCCAUCAUUCUGAUCUCUGCAAUCUUCUCAUUCAUUUCAACAUCCUCUAGCAAAACCAAAUUGUUACCCUCACUAUCACUUGAAACUUCCGGCGUUUUCUCGGAUUUCGUUGAGUCUCCCAGAAACAAAACAGCACAAACAGUUUGAAAAGCGAAUAUUCCGAUCAACCACAAUCCAUACUUCGCUACUAACUUCGGAGAGAUCUUAGUUGAUAUACCAUUUACCUCAUUUGACACAACCGAGCUACUUAAGACCUGAAUCUCCUCUACAUCAGAAACUACGUCGCUUGAAGGAUCAUUUUCCGGCGUUUCGAUUCCGAUUAUGACUGUCUCUUGAGCUUUGGAUUUAGGGUUCUAAGGAUUUUGGGUCGCAGGUAAUUUUCCUUUUGAUGACUUCGACAGAACGGAAUCGAAGCCGAAGAACACCGGAUAACUUUUACAGAAACUCUCCUUCCGGUGGAGUACGACGGAAGGAAACUCGAAGGAGAUAAAAAGACGGCGCAUCGG